CUUCAGAGGAGGCUCUGCUGAGGCUGCUGCCAGUGGUCAAAGCCUCCAACAAAGCUCUGCUGAGCAGCUGUGAUCUGUCAGAGAGAAGCUGGGAAGCUCUGUCCUCCUCUCUUCAACUAGAAGACUGUGAGCUGACAGAGCUAGACCUGAGUAACAACAACCUGCAGGACUCAGGAUUGAAGCUGCUGCUUGCUGGAUUGGAGAGUCCCCGCUGUAAACUGGAGACACUCAGACUGAGUCUCUGUGACCUCUCAGAGAGAAGCUGUGAAACUCUGUCCUCAGUUCUCAGCUCCCAGUCCUCUAGUCUGAGAGAGCUGGACCUGAGUAACAAUGACCUGAAGGACUCAGGAGUGAAAGCUUUAUCUUCUGGACUGGAUAAUCCACAUUGUAAACUGGAAACACUCAGGUCAGCAUUCUUCAAAUGUUCAACAGAUGACUAAAAUCUGGUUUCCGUUAGUGUCUAACUGAUGCAGGACUGUGUCUGCUGUGAUUUGUCAAACUAUCUAAACUAGUGAUGUGCUGUUCGCUAAAGAGCCGGCUCUAAGAGCCGAUGCUUGGUAGUGAAUCAGAAAAGCUGAUUCCCAUUGAAUGAGAGCAGGAUCCCCAAUUUCUCAUUAGCUCUGCUCACAAACCCGAGGACAGGGACAGAACUGAUGGGCACACCAUGGAGCCAAUCACACAGGGGGACAUGGGAUUAUACCAUUAUGUUAAAGCAGAGGGGGAGAUAGAUAGCCGUGCAAAAACACAUGAAUAUGACUGAUACAUGUUAAAGAAGCAGGAUUUGUUGCAAUAUAAGGAAAUUGGAAAUAGCAGAGCAGAGUGCCGUAAAUUGAAAAUUAGAAUUAGAGCAGGUUCCACCACAAACCUGCACCGACAUAAGAACUGUCCAUCCCUCGGUGCAGUUGGAGGAGAGAGGGCAAGCUAGGUCUCCAUACUGACCCUGGUGAGUCU